GAUGAACGCUGGCGGCGUGCUUAACACAUGCAAGUCGAACGAUGAAGCCCAGCUUGCUGGGUGGAUUAGUAGCGAACGGGUGAGUAACACGUGAGUAACCUGCCCUUAACUCUGGGAUAAGCCUGGGAAACUGGGUCUAAUACCGGAUAGGAGCGUCCACCGCAUGGUGGGUGUUGGAAAGAUUUAUCGGUUUUGGAUGGACUCGCGGCCUAUCAGCUUGUUGGUGAGGUAAUGGCUCACCAAGGCGACGACGGGUAGCCGGCCUGAGAGGGUGACCGGCCACACUGGGACUGAGACACGGCCCAGACUCCUACGGGAGGCAGCAGUGGGGAAUAUUGCACAAUGGGCGCAAGCCUGAUGCAGCGACGCCGCGUGAGGGAUGACGGCCUUCGGGUUGUAAACCUCUUUCAGUAGGGAAGAAGCGAAAGUGACGGUACCUGCAGAAGAAGCACCGGCUAACUACGUG
rnacentral:rRNA from 1 species